rnacentral:rRNA from 1 species
CUACGGGGGGCUGCAGUGGGGAAUAUUGGACAAUGGGGGAAACCCUGGUCCAGCAAUGCCGCGUGUGUGAAGAAGGCCUGCGGGUUGUAAAGCACUUUCGGUUGGGAGGACUGCUUCUAGCACUAAUAUUGUUGGAAGUUGACGUUACCUUCAGAAGAAGCACCGGCUAACUCCGUGCCAGCAGCCGCGGUAAUAGCGGAGGGUGCAAGCGUUAAUCGGAAUUACUGGGCGUAAAGCGCGCGUAGGCGGCUAGAUCAGUCGGGUGUGAAAGCCCCGGGCUUAACCUGGGAACUGCAUCCGAUACUGGCUAGCUUGAGUACAGGAGAGGAGAGUGGAAUUCCACAUGUAGCGGUGAAAUGCGUAGAUAUGUGGAGGAACACCAAUGGCGAAGGCAGCUCUCUGGCCUGAUACUGACGCUGAGGUGCGAAAGCGUGGGGAGCAAACAGGAUUAGAUACCCGCGUAGUC